GUCCGCAUGAACCAUUCGCCCGCCACGCAAACGAUCCGCAAGUGUGCAGUGAUCCCCACGAGUGUCAUCCAUAAUGCAUCUGGGUGCCAUCUUAAGUGCGUGCGGGCGCAAACCUUAGUCCAUCCGGGCGACAUCCUACUGCCGUCCCUGCCCCCUGGGGCGACAUCCUACUGCCGUCCCUGCCCCCCGGGGCGACAUCCUACUGCCGUCCCUGCCCCCUGGGGCGACAUCCUACUGCCGUCCCUGCCCCCUGGGGCGACAUCCUACUGCCCCCCCUGCACCCAGGCUAGCCCAAAUUAGUAGCUCCGGACCACAUCGCGUGCCCAGCUGCUGGGCGGUAGCGACAUACUU
rnacentral:lncRNA from 1 species